GUGUCAGCAGCCGCGGUAAUACGGGGGGAGCAAGCGUUGUUCGGAUUUACUGGGCGUAAAGGGCGCGUAGGCGGCCACCGCAAGUCGGUUGUGAAAUCUCUGGGCUUAACCCAGAAAGGUCAACCGAUACUGCGGGGCUAGAGUGCAGAAGGGGCAACUGGAAUUCUCGGUGUAGCGGUGAAAUGCGUAGAUAUCGAGAGGAACACCUGCGGCGAAGGCGGGUUGCUGGGCUGACACUGACGCUGAAGCGCGAAAGCUAGGGGAGCGAACGGGAUUAGAUACCCCGGUAGUCC
rnacentral:rRNA from 1 species